rnacentral:lncRNA from 1 species
CCUCAGUUCAUCCAUGUGAUAUAAGCCACACCCAUUUACAUCUGAGGUCACAACUACUCAUCAGAUUUUGAAUAAUCCUCUUUCUACUGCUUCACAACAGUUCACAAGCCACAACACUUCCAGCAUUAAUUCUUCUUCAACAAACCAGAAGACUCAUUAGGAUCCAUAAUAGCUGCCAGUGUAGAGGAGCCUCAGUUACUUUCACUUUGAUCAUUAUCCCUGGGAGAAGAAGCCAACAGCUCCUGGUGACCACAAUAAGAGAUUUCAUUUUUACCUCUUACGAAGAGCUCAGUGGAACAUUUCUCAUCACCGGCUGUCACAUAAUACUCUGAAUCAUCUGUCAUCUGACAGUUAUUGAUAAACAGGAUUCUCUGGCAUCCUUUGUGUUCAAAGAUGUAUCUGUUUUGAAUAGGAUGAAAAUAAACAGAGUCUGUGAAUGUGA